rnacentral:rRNA from 1 species
UACGCUGGCGGCACGCCUAACACAUGCAAGUCGAACGAAGUAGCAAUACUUAGUGGCAGACGGGUGAGUAACAUGUGGGUAUCUACCCUUUGGCCUGGAAUAACACGAGGAAACUUGUGCUAAUACCGGAUAAGUCUUUACGGAGAAAGCUUUAUGCACCAUUGGAUGAGCCCGCACUUGAUUAGUUUGUUGGUAGGGUAAUGGCCUACCAAGACUAUGAUCAAUAGCUGAUUUGAGAGGAUGAUCAGCCACAUUGGGACUGAGACACGGCCCAAACUCCUACGGGAGGCAGCAGUGGGGAAUCUUGCACAAUGGAGGAAACUCUGAUGCAGCGAUGCCGCGUGAGUGAAGAAGGCCUUUGGGUUGUAAAGCUCUUUCGUCGGGGAAGAAAAUGACUGUACCCGAAUAAGAAGGUCCGGCUAACU